UACGGGGGGGGCAAGCGUUGUUCGGAAUUACUGGGCGUAAAGGGCUCGUAGGCGGCCAACUAAGUCAGACGUGAAAUCCCUCGGCUUAACCGGGGAACUGCAUCUGAUACUGGAUGGCUUGAGUUCGGGAGAGGGAUGUGGAAUUCCAGGUGUAGCGGUGAAAUGCGUAGAUAUCUGGAGGAACACCGGUGGCGAAGGCGGGUCUCUGGGCAACAACUGACGCUGAGGAGCGAAAGCGUGGGGAGCGAACAGG
rnacentral:rRNA from 1 species